rnacentral:lncRNA from 1 species
CUUUUCAUACAUUUUAUAUCGUCUUAAAAUACCAUUGUACCAACACAUUAACUAAUCAGGACUAGGAAAAACAUGGGCACAGACUCAAACAACAGAAACCUGAACCCUGAAAAGGAAAAGCAAAAUGUAUAACUCAUUCUGUGAGUUUAUGUAUAUGCAGAUAGUUGCAGUUUGAAAUAUAUAUUUGCAUUGCUAUCCUUACUGUGCAUUAUUAUGUAUAUGCUCCGGCUAAUGUGUAAAGAUAAAUUAUGUGAAAUUUUAACUUUUGGCACCCCUAUAUUCUUUAACUGAAUCAUAUUCUGCUUCAGUGACUACCGCAGAAAAUGGGUUGAGGGCAUUGGAGUAUCUGGGCUUGAGAGAUGAUCAAGAAAACACUUUGAAUGGCAGCGUAAGUGACUUGCUUGUCAGACAGAUAAUGUAUAUAUAACUUUUGGUCACUUCCAGUCUUCUUUGACAAAACUACUUAUAUUUGUCUAUUUGAUGCUAAUUUUUGCCCCCGUAACUUAAUGAAGAAAGAAUGUUUUUUUAUAUAUAUUUUACAUAAAAAGAACAGGAUUGAACAAUAUUUGUGGAUGUUUGCUUUCCCCUAUUUUAGAUGUACAUUUUCAAUAUGAGAUCACUUCAUGUUUGGGCUAGUUUUGGACAAUUAUUCAAUGUAAAAUUGUAAAUGUAACAUUAUUGUGAUGGACCGGAGCCUCUAAAAUCCUUAAAACUCUCUCGGUUUGUAUUUUCAUCCCUAUGAAAUUCAUGAUAUUUUUCCUCAAAAGUUUUUCGCUGGCUACAUGAUUACAGGGUUCAAAGGUGAAUAUGAUAAUUACAGAUUACUGUAUGCCAGGAAUGACCGGCUACGACCUACUCAAGAAAAUUAAGGUAUUUUUUCUGUUUUCUAGGGAUUUAAAAAGGAAAAGUUUCCUAGGCAUUUCACCUUUACAGAGUAGAAGAACAAUGGGUUCAGGGAAAUAAUUUUGGCCAUCAAUGUUAUUCUGCAAGCAGGAAUCAUCUAUCUUGAAGGAAGUUCCAGUUGUGAUAAUGUCCUCUGAGAACAUCCCAACACGUAUUAACAAGUAAGUAAUUAUCUAUGACCUGACCUAUAUUUUAUACAGCAAAGUUAUUUAUUCUCUUAGCAUCCUAAAUCAAAUGCAUGCAGGUGCUUAGAAGGAGGAGCUCAGAUGUUCAUGCUAAAGCCCCUUAAGCAAUCUGACGUGAAGAAAUUGAGAGGUCAAUUGAUGAAAUGUCGAAGCUAAUCACAUCCUAGAGGCUAGAGGAGGGAAUUAGGAAGAGUGCCUUGGGAACAAGUAUAAUAGAGAAAAGCCAAAUGGUGUUAGAGAAUUUUGUACGCAUUAGCUUUUAGCUGUAGCUGUUUUGAGGUUAAUCUGGUAAUCGAUUUUCUGUUAGUUGACGAGUUGUUUUUGUUUCUAAAACUUGCUUAUUCUCUUUCAUUUUGAAAUCUUUUCUUAACUAAUCUUUCAUUUUCUAUACACAUAAUUCCAUUAUUCUAAUGUCUCGACUCUAUAAUGGUUUUGACUCGAAAUUUUACCAAAACAAACAUUAUAUCCCUCCUAAUUUCCAAGCCAAACCCUAACAAUGCAUUUUCAAGAAACAGAGAAUAUUCAGCAUUACUUAAUAGAAGAAAAGAAAUAAUAAUCUAUACGCAUGAACCAAGAAAUGUAGGGCAAAUUGAUUAUACAGUGCAUAAAAACUUGAAAUAUGAGCUGAAUUGAAUUAUAUAGAACUAACUAACACGGUGGUGUCAUCAGUCAAAAUGGCUGUGGUGCUGGUGGUGGUGAUGUAUACGGUCAGCCAAUCCAAAGCACUGCAAAACAGGGUAACAAGCAGCGAACAAGCACCUCCAACCAUACUGCCUGCAAAUUAAACAGGGACAGCAACAACAUGCCAGGAAUGGAUCAUCAUGUGGGCUAACCCUUUCUUGACGACGACCCAUCUCCUUUUUUUCACCCAAAUUUAAUUGAUAUCCAAAAACCAGUCGGCAAAAUUAAGACUACCCACCCCAGCCGGUAGAGAACGCCCACGUAGAGGUGGUUGGGGCCGGGGCGGGCUGAGAUCUCUAGCCGGGCGUGGUUAACUUUAGGCCAACCUUGCCCGUCUAAGGACAAGGCAGCUUUUUUGUAGUUACGAGGACACAUUUUAACUAGGUGUCAAGGGCCCUUGGAAACAUGAAAAAUAUUCCUUUUCUUCUCAUUUGUAAAAAGACUCUAAUUUGUAUUAAAGUUUUUUUUUUUAAACUUUUUGGUGUAAUAUAUUAAAUGACAUUAGGAUCACAAUCUUAUUGUUAUGUGAUUACUAUUCCAUCAUUUUUAUAUAACAUAAU